rnacentral:lncRNA from 1 species
GAAGAGAGGAAGCAAGCUAACCGGAGAGAGAGCAGCUUGAGCUGAGCUUUCACUCACCGUCCACCACUGCUGUUUGCUGCCAUCGCAGACUUGCCACUGACUUCCACCCCUCCAGAUCCAGCAGGGUGUCUGCUGCUCUCCUGAUCCAGCGAGGUCAUGGGUUUUGAAAUCUCACGUUAUUUGACAACACCUUCAAGAGAAGAAGAGUUAUGCCUGACUACUACUGGCAUUGUAGAUGGCAGAAUAUCUCAGGGU